rnacentral:rRNA from 1 species
UGGGGAAUAUUGGGCAAUGGGGGCAACCCUGACCCAGCGACGCCGCGUGGGUGAAGAAAUCCUUCGGGAUGUAAAGCCCUGUUGUAUGGGAAGAGCAGAAGACGGUACCAUACGAGGAAGCCCCGGCAACCUACGUGCCAGCAGCCGCGGUAAUGCGUAGGGGGCAAGCGUUGUCCGGAAUUACUGGGCGUAAAGCGCACGCAGGCUGAAUUAUAAGUCGGUAGUCAAAGGCGGAGGCUUAACUUCCGUUUAUCUA